UGGCGCUCGCAUCGUCUCUCUCUGUCUUGCAGCCUCUCCGGUUCCGGUUCUCUGCCCUCGGCGUCUCCGGCUCCAUGUCCUCAGCGCUUUCAUGCUCGAAGGUGCUGGUAGAUAGGCCCAGCCAACCUGGUAGAAGAGGGGUUGAGGAAUUCCAAAGUCGUUUCUCCCCUCGCUCUAAAUCUGCAUCCUACCAUAGAGCUUUCUUGCCAGGUGGAAUCAGCAAAUGUCAAUGAGCAUGCUAAAAUUGGGUCAAGGAAACUGCUCAACAUAUGUCACAUUCUCAACCUGGUAUAGUGGGACAGAACCAACCAACGGGAGUUAAUGUUCAAGCCCUUGCUAAGCUGACUCAUGCUCUUGAAAAAAGGUGUACAUGGUGAUGAGAACCCUUGGUAAUG